CCUACGGGUGGCAGCAGUGAGGAAUAUUGGUCAAUGGGCGCGAGCCUGAACCAGCCAAGUAGCGUGAAGGAUGACUGCCCUACGGGUUGUAAACUUCUUUUAUUAAGGAAUAAAGUGAGGCACGUGUGCCUCUUUGUAUGUAUUUUAUGAAUAAGGAUCGGCUAACUCCGUGCCACCAGCCGCGGUAUUACGGAGGAUCCGAGCGUUAUCCGGAUUUAUUGGGGUUAAGGGGGGCGUAGAUGGGUUGUUAAGUCAGUUGUGAAAGUUUGCGGCUCAACCGUAAAAUUGCAAUUGAUACUGGCAGUCUUGAGUGCAGUUGGGGAAGGCGGAAUUCGUGGUGUAGCGGUGAAAUGCUUAGAUAUCACGAAGAACUCCGAUUGCGAAGGCAGGUUACUAAACUGCCACUGACAUUGAUGCUCGAAAGUGUGGGUAUCAAACAGGAUUAGAUACCCUGGUAGUC
rnacentral:rRNA from 1 species